rnacentral:sRNA from 1 species
AUGGCUGUCGUCAGCUCGUGCCGUGAGGUGUUGCCUUAAGUGGCGCAACGAGCGCAACCCCUGUCCUUAGUUGCCAGCGGGUAAUGCCGGGGACUCAUAGGAGACUGCCGGGGUCAACUCGGAGGAAGGUGGGGACGACGUCAAGUCAUCAUGCCCCUUAUGUCCAGGGCUGCACACAUGCUACAAUGGCUGGUACAAAGGGCAGCUAAACCGCAAGGUGGAGCGAAUCCCAAAAAGCCAGUCUCAGUUCGGAUUGGGGUCUGCAACUCGACCCCAUGAAGUCGGAGUCGCUAGUAAUCGCAGAUCAGCAACGCUGCGGUGAAUACGUUCCCGGGCCUUGUACACACCGCCCGUCACGUCACGAAAGUCGGUAACACCCGAAGCCAGUGGCCCAACCCUUGUGGGGGGAGCUGUCGAAGGUGGGAUCGGCGAUUGGGACGAAGUCGUAACAAGGUAGCCGUACCGGAAGGUGCGGCUGGAUCACCUCCUUUCUAAGGAGCUUUCGGCGUAGGCGAUUACGUUGGCCAUUUGGCCGGCACGACCUGCGUCCAGCUCAUGGGUGGAACACUGACUAUUCGAUCGCCGCGACGCCGGCGUCCCUAGUACUGCCCGAGUGGCAACACUCGAGUAAGGGACGGGUCGUCGAGCGCGGUACUCGGGCACGCUGUUGGGUCCUGAGGGGACGGACCUGCGGAACGUCGCAGGGACACAUCCUCAGCCCGCAUGAGACGCCGGACGGUUUCGACCGAUCGGCGUUUCGGCACGGGAGGACCGAUCGUGCGUCGUACCGCACCUGCUCCGGGCAAACCGGGGUGAGUGGCUGGCGACGAGGACACGGCCGGGAUCGCCCGCACCUUGAGAACUGCACAGUGGACGCGAGCAUCUUUUUUGUUUUGUAGUCAAGCUAAUAAGGGCGCACGGUGGAUGCCUUGGCACCAGGAGCCGAAGAAGGACGUAGGAGGCUGCGAUAAGCCUCGGGGAGCUGUCAACCGAGCUGUGAUCCGUGGAUAUCCGAAUGGGGAAACCCGG